rnacentral:rRNA from 1 species
AUUGAACGCUGGCGGCAUGCUUUACACAUGCAAGUCGAACGGUAACAGGCCUUCGGGUGCUGACGAGUGGCGAACGGGUGAGUAAUGCAUCGGAACGUGCCCAGAGGUGGGGGAUAACGCAGCGAAAGCUGUGCUAAUACCGCAUGUGAUCUGAGGAUGAAAGCGGGGGACCAGGCAGCAAUGUUUGGCCUCGCGCCUUUGGAGCGGCCGAUGUCAGAUUAGGUAGUUGGUGGGGUAAAGGCCUACCAAGCCGACGAUCUGUAGCUGGUCUGAGAGGACGACCAGCCACACUGGGACUGAGACACGGCCCAGACUCCUACGGGAGGCAGCAGUGGGGAAUUUUGGACAAUGGGCGCAAGCCUGAUCCAGCAAUGCCGCGUGCGGGAAGAAGGCCUUCGGGUUGUAAACCGCUUUUGUACGGAACGAAAAGGCUCUGGCAAAUACCUGGGGCUGAUGACGGUACCGUAAGAAUAAGCACCGGCUAACUACGUG